CACCCCACACCCCCACCCCCAGGACCUGUCCUCUGUCCUGGCUGCAAAGCCCCCGCACCCCAACUUGACUUGAGUCUCAUCUGAAUCAGAAUUGUGGCAGCAGCUUCUGACUUCACCUGGGAUUCCAGCCAGGCCAGGGGGCCAUGGAGGCAGCAGAGGAAGCUAGGCUGCUGAGCCGGAGGAGGAGUGACCGACAGGCAGCCCCACAGGCUCUCAGGCGCCUGGACGAAUGGCAUCACUGCCAGCGUGCGGGGCACCUGCUGGACGUCCAGCUCGCCGUCCAGCCCUCCAGGGAUGUUGAUGACUGUGGACUCCAUGGUCCAGGGCUCCUGGCGGCUGGGGACAGUGUCCUGGUGCACCUGAGGCCACACGUCCUGGUCACGGCCCUGCAGCGGGGACGGCAGCUGGAGGGUUUCCAGGACAGACUCCACAGCUGGGAUCCUGGUGGAAAAGGACCCCUGGACGCGGGACUCAGCUGGUUCAGGUCCCUGGGCUCCUGCAGAGAAAGGAGACAUCCCCGUGAGCACCUCAGGGCAGGGAUGGGAGUGGAGCCCAGACACCGCACAGGGCCCUGCACGCAGGCCCCAGACAGCGGGAACCAGCGCUGGCAGCAGAGCGCAGGCUCAGCCCCGUGCGCCCCUUCCUGCCCCUCGCGCAUCUGUGCCCCGUGCGCCCCUUCCUGCCCCUCGCACGUCUGUGCCCCGUGCGCCUCUUGCUGCCCCUCGCGCGUCUGUGAGCUCAGCCCCGUGCGCCCCUUCCUGCCCCUCGCGCGUCUGUGCCCCGUGCGCCUCUUGCUGCCCCUCGCACGUCUGUGAGCUCCGUUUCGUUCUUUCUCAGACGUGUUUUGCUCAUGCUCAGCUGCGUCCGACUCUGCGACCCCGUGGACAGUAGCCCACCAGGCUCCUCUGUCCGUGGCAUUUUCCAGGCAAGGGCACUGCAGCAGUUGCCAUUUCCUUCUCCGGGGCAUCUUGCUGAUCUAGGGAUGGAAUCUGGGUCUCCUGCUUUUGGCAGUUCGGCCUUUACCACUGAGCCACCAGGGAAGCCCCUCAAACGUGUUUGGUAAUUAACAGUUUUCUGUUCUCUUCAGAUACUUUGAACUUUGUCUUUUAUUUCUCUAAGCAAAGUAAACCCUGUAGUUAUUUGGUGGUUUCACCUGCUGAGUCCCGAGGCCCUUGGGCUGUUUCUCCCGUGGUUUUGCUGACUCUCACUCAGGGGCCUUGUCUCCACGGGGCGUCGGCCACUUGGACAAGGAGCGGCCUGUUUUCCGUGUUCUGUCCGUGUCGUCCGCAAGGAAGCAGCGUUGCGUGAUGAAGGGCGAGUCUCAGAGGGUCACCCCCUUUCACAAAGUCGGGUUGGCCGGGGUCCAAGAGUCAGCAGUGAUUUUGCUCUCUUCCCCUCUCCCCAAGGGUUGAGGCUGGGGGUGGAGUGUUGGGGCCCUCUUGUUCACCUCUACCCCUGGGGGUCCCGGUUUUAUGGGACAGCUUAACCCGUAAAGCAAGUCAGCCCUGGACUUGGCCCUCUGUUUCUGCCUCCUGCACGUCUGUGAAGGUUAAACUCAGCGGGGCUGGUGCCCUGGGCGUCCCUCUGCCUCAGUCCCCGCCCAAGACUCCCUUACCUCCCAGCGGGUUCACCGCCCACAGGAGACCCUCCGCACGUGCGGGGCACGCCCCGCGCCCACCCCGCGCCUUUCCUCCUCGGCGCCAGUCUGCUUGCUCAGGCUCGCGGAGCGGCCUCCCUCCUUCUGCACCAGUUUCCCUGACAGCACGUUUGUAUUGUGUGGUCCUUGCGUGGAACCACGUAGACAUCAAACUAGCC
rnacentral:lncRNA from 1 species